rnacentral:rRNA from 1 species
UACGUAGGGGGCAAGCGUUGUCCGGAAUUAUUGGGCGUAAAGCGCGCGCAGGCGGUCGACUUAGUCGGGUGGUUAAGCCCGGGGCUCAACCCCGGGUCACACCGGAAACGGGUCGACUUGAGUGCCGAAGAGGAGAGUGGAAUUCCACGUGUAGCGGUGAAAUGCGUAGAGAUGUGGAGGAACACCAGUGGCGAAGGCGACUCUCUGGACGGUAACUGACGCUGAGGCGCGAAAGCGUGGGGAGCAAACAGG